ACGAACGCUGGCGGCGUGGAUAAGACAUGCAAGUCGAUCGGAUUACUUUCGUGUAGCAAUACGAUCGGUAAGUUAGUGGCGUAACGGGUGCUUAACACGUGGGCAACCUGCCCAGAGAGUGGGGGAUAGCUCGCCGAAAGGCGGAAUUAAUACCGAAUGUGGCUAGAGACGGACAUCGUCUCGUAAUCUAAAGCCGGGGCAACCUGACGCUCUUUGAUGGGGCCCGCGGCCUAUCAGCUAGUUGGUGGGGUAAUCGGCUCACCAAGGCUAUGACGGGUAGCUGGUCUGAGAGGACGACCAGCCACACUGGACUGAGACACGGUCCAGACACCUACGGGUGGCAGCAGUCGAGAAUUUUUCUCAAUGGGGGAAACCCUGAAGGAGCGACGCCGCGUGGAGGAUGAAGGUCUUCGGAUUGUAAACUCCUGUCAUUGGGGAACAAUGCGCAAUCUAUUAACUGUCUUUGUGUUGAUAGUACCCGAAGAGGAAGAGACGGCUAACUCUGUGCCAGCAGCCGCGGUAAUACAGAGGUCUCAAGCGUUGUUCGGAUUCAUUGGGCGUAAAGGGUGCGUAGGUGGCGGGGCUAAGUCUGGUGUGAAAUCUCGGAGCUUCAACUCCUGAACUGCACUGGAUACUGCUGUGCUAGAGGACUGGAGAGGGAACUGGAAUUUACGGUGUAGCAGGUGAAAUGCGUAGAUAUCGUAAGGAAGGCCAGUGGCGAAGGCGAGGUCUCUGGACAGUUACUGACAGCUGAGGCACGAAGGCUCAGGGGAGCAAACGGGAUUAGAUACCCCGGUAGUCCUGACAGUAAACGGUGCACGUUUGGUGUAGGAGGAUUCGACCCCUUCUGUGCCGGAGCUAACGCGUUAAACGCUGCCGCCUGGGGAGUACGGUCGCAAGAUUAAAACUCAAAGAAAUUGACGGGGGCCCGCACAAGCGGUGGAGUAUGUGGCUUAAUUCGAUGCAACGCGAAGAACCUUACCAUGGCCUUGACAUGUAUCUCUAAGUCGGUGAAAGCCAGGCGAGUCCCGCAAGGGACAAUUUGACACAGGUGCUGCAUGGCUGUCGUCAGCUCGUGUCGUGAGAUGUUGGGUUAAGUCCCGCAACGAGCGCAACCCCUGUGGCACUGUUGCCACCGAGCCGUCGGGCUAGAGCACUCUGCUCAGACUGCCCCUGCUCUAACGGGGAGGAAGGUGGGGAUGACGUCAAGUCCAGCAUGGCCCUUACGGCCAUGGGCUGCACACGUACUACAAUGCUCAGCACAGAAUGAUCCGAGACCGCGAGGUGGAGGAAAUCUCUAAAACUGAGGCUCAGUUCAGAUCGCAGUCUGCAACUCGCCUUCAUGAAGCCGGAAUCGCUAGUAAUGGCGUAUCAGCUACGACGCGUGAAUACGUUCCCGGGCCUUGUACACACCGCCCGUCACAUCAUGGGAGUCGUUGUAGCCCGAAGUACGUGCGCGCUAACCGCAAUGGGAGGCAGCGUCCUACGAUAUGAGCGGUAACUGGGAUG
rnacentral:rRNA from 1 species